rnacentral:rRNA from 1 species
GAGUUUGAUUCUGGCUCAGAACGAACGCUGGCGGCGCGUCUUAAGCAUGCAAGUCGAACGGUAAGGGAGAGCUUGCUCUCCCCUAGAGUGGCGGACUGGUGAGUAACGCGUGGGUGACCUGCCCUGAAGAUGGGGAUAGCUAGUAGAAAUAUUAGAUAAUACCGAAUGUGCUCAUUUACAUAAAGGUAAAUGUGGAAAGGAGCUACGGCUCCGCUUCAGGAUGGGCCCGCGUCCCAUUAGCUGGUUGGUGAGGUAAAGGCCCACCAAGGCAACGAUGGGUAUCCGGCCUGAGAGGGUGAACGGACACAUUGGGACUGAGAUACGGCCCAAACUCCUACGGGAGGCAGCAGCUAAGAAUCUUCCGCAAUGGACGAAAGUCUGACGGAGCGACGCCGUGUGAAUGAAGAAGGCCGAAAGGUUGUAAAAUUCUUUUGCAGAUGAAGAAUAAAACACAGGAGGGAAUGCCCUGUGAGAUGA